ACAGAAGUGUACUCUUCAGUACUGUGAUGUAUCGUACCGUAGGGAAGUGUACUGUACUAUACUGUACUUACAGUUUCAAUAAGUAAUGUUAAUAUUCAAUCCUUAUAAUAAUAUUAUUAAAUAAGUAAGUAAUGAAAAGUCAGAAUUUUUGAGUGUAAUGUAAAACAUUGUUUCUCAUACAUUGGAUAUACAUUUGGGUGUAUAUAUUUAAGUAUGAAUAAAUAAAUUUCCUGAAUUACUCGAUUAUCGAAUUAGGUUGAGCCGACCAAUGAGAGUACAGCUUGCGAGAAUGUGACGUCAAGUGAAAAUGAGAAAGGUGAUUGGCUGUUGAGUCGACGUGGUGGGUGAGGAUCAACGGAACGUUAUUUUGACCCUAGUAUUCGCAGAGUAGUGGUGUACAAGUUAGUGUUAGGGCGUGUUGUUACUCUGAGCUGGUACCCCGUUACCCUUUGGGGUCGCUAGGGCUGACAGACCCCUAGCUUACACUCACUUUGUACACCGUCAAAACGCGAAUACAUAGGGUCAAAACUAUAUACAUAUAUAUAUAUAUAAGGCUCGUUAUAUAUCACCCUUGGGGGAUAUAUAACGUGUACAUAUAUACACGCUAUUAUUGUAGUGCAGAGUUUAUGAUCAGUAGUAAAAUAUAUUUAGAAAUGUUAACUACGUCCUGAAUUGGAAUGUUUCAGCGGUGUUGAGUGAAUGAGGUAGUGGUGUGAAGAUGAAGAAUCGCGUGAAAUGACCCGAUUGGUGAGUUAGGAAUCUGCUGGAGAGAGUAAGGUUGUCAUGGGACCAGUGGUGGAGCGUUGAUUCAAGUCAGACCGGGGCGAGCAGAAGCUGGUGGAAGAUGAGUACCACGUCUACUUCAACCGGGACGAGUUAGCACAUAUGGAAGUAAUACCGGGACAGAUUGCCAGGCUGUUGUGGAAGAACACGGAGACGCGUCCACUUGAGUAUUCGUGAAAACUUGGCAGCAAGUGUUGGAAUAGUUGGUAGAAUUUUCGUGGAUAGAUUGUAGGUAAGAGGCUUGAGUACGUUAUACGUGGAUAACAUCGUGUAUAGGUACUUUAGGGACAGACCUGCAAGUGUUUACUGAAGUUGGCGUGUUCCAUACAAGAAUUGCGAGAUUAUGGUAAUGAUGGUUCAAUGGUAGAGGGAAUCAGAGGCAGCGGACUUUGAGAUACAACGGAGCCACAGGCUGAGGUGGCAGAAAGAUGUGUUAAAGACGAGGAUGAGGCGACCCACACGGUGAAUAAAGAAAGGACUUGAGAUUGGGAGAUAAAACGGGACAAGAAAUUGAAGGGUAUUCCUGAAUCAAUAAUGUUUACACUAGUGAAGAGUUGGUGAAAAAGGAAUAAUGUGAGUUGAAAUCGCAUUUGCUACCUGUAAUGGGAAAUUGUUUAGUGUCUAGUUUAAAAAUGAGAUCAUAAUGUAUUGGUAUUGAGGGGUAAGAAUGUGUGUUUUGUGCCCUUAAUAAUAAAAUCGUGUCAGUGUUGCCAUGAGAUACAGGGCAAAAUGUGUGGGUCGUGAAAGACGAUGCAUGAAGUGUUGCAAAAGUUGUGAAAUGAAUGUUAUGGAAGGUGUAUAGUAAAUAUAUAUUAGUUACUAGGUUGUGUUGUAAAUGACGUAUUUGUAAAUAGGAAUAAAUGAGAAUGUCUGUUGCGUGUUAUAUAAAUGGUAAAACGGUAGAAGUUUGUAAUGUGCAAUGGGAUGGUGGUGUAAGGACGUCAUUAGGAGAUUUAGUGACAUGUAUACUAUGCUAUUUAUGCGAGUGUUAUGUUUUGGACAAUAGUAAAAGCCGUGCUCGACAACUGUAAUGCGGCCAGAAGUGCAAAUAUGUACUAUAUAUGUGAGUCAUGAGAUAUUAAACAUUUGAAAGUACAUUUUUAUAAUUUAGUUUACGUCCUGUUUUCUAGUCAUCUUUUUAGGUAACGUAACCGUGUUAGUUGAUUGAAAUAUCAUGUUAUUGGUUGUAAAAUACAAAUAGUAGUUAACGUAUAGGUAUAUUGAUAAUAUUGUUUUGUCUCUACAAAUAUGUAAAUUUUAGUUGGAAAUGAGAAACGGUUAUAUAAAAUAAUAAUAAAAAAUUUUUUGUUAUUGCUAUAUAAAACUUUAGUAUAGGAAAGUGCACGUAAAAAAAAUUGUACAAUCGUGAUUGUGUUAACAUACAAGGAUAAUGAAUGUGUGAUGGAAAUGUAUGAGGGGCAUAAAUUAAUUGAAUUAUGUAUGAUAGUGUGGAUAUGUAGUGGUUAUAGUUUGUGUUAAAAUGUGGUAUGAUGGUUGUUGGUGCAGUAAUAUAUGCACGAGUGUGUUGUAUAUUAUAUCUUUAGACACCACCUUACAUAAGAUGGUACGAUAUAUAUAUAUAUACGCCAUAUUAAUUUGUCAUUAGCUUAAUACUUAAAAAUAAGUAAAAAGUUAUGGUUAGUGUGAAUCGCAUAUAAUGGCUUGUUACAAAGAAAUUGUUAUGGUGCUGUGAUGAGGUUGAUAUUUUAGUGACUAGGUUAUUUUCUCGAGUUGAUUAUGGUUUGCGGCUUUGUAGCAGUUAGAAAAAGUUACGUAGUUUGUGUGAAAAUGCAUUUUGUUAGUGUCAUUGGGGGCGGAGGGUAUGUGAAAUGUUUCAAUUAGAAGGUAACAAUGAAUGAUAAUGUUUUUAAAAGGUAUUAAACAUUUUUCAUGUUAUAGUAUUGAAGCUGCGUAUGGUAAUUGACAUGACGGAAAUAUUUAUUGUUUAACGAAGCAGAGAAUGCUUUAACAUGGGUAUGAUAGGUUGAGACAUGUAUGAUGUAGUUAACAGGCGAUGCAUGCCCUGUGAUGACUGGUGUAGUUUGUAGGCGUUGCUAGCAAUGAAUGUGUAGUAGGUAAUAAAAUAGUAUCAAUCAUUGUGUGACGAAUUUUGUAUGCAUGAAAAAUAAUAAAUUAGUUAAUUUAAAAGUAUUGACUAGAAAUGUGUUAUUGAAUACGGAUUAUUAUACAAUAGUGAUUUGUAUUGAAUAGGGGCCACCGAUCAUGGCUUAGUUCUCUGAGUCUAAGACUUGUGCUAUGACUUACUCGGAAGCAUGUCGUUCUUUGUCCCUCUUUGUCGCUUUAUGGUCAUCCCCUUGUGUACAGGGAUUCCGCAAAGCUCUUGUGGUUAGUCUGACACUCUUGUGUUGGUCAGCACAUAUGUUACCUCGUAGUUUGGUGCUGUAUGGCCGUUAAGGUUUUGUCCCAUACUUUUUGGGAAGCGGAUAGACGCACGCUCCUAUCUUUGC
rnacentral:lncRNA from 1 species